UACGAAGGGGGCUAGCGUUGUUCGGAAUCACUGGGCGUAAAGCGCACGUAGGCGGAUCUUUAAGUCAGAGGUGAAAUCCCAAGGCUCAACCUUGGAACUGCCUUUGAUACUGGGGAUCUUUGAGUCCGGGAGAGGUGAGUGGAACUGCGAGUGUAGAGGUGAAAUUCGUAGAUAUUCGCAAGAACACCAGUGGCGAAGGCGGCUCACUGGCCCGGUACUGACGCUGAGGUGCGAAAGGCGUGGGGAGCAAAACAGGG
rnacentral:rRNA from 1 species